AUUGAACGCUGGCGGCAUGCCUUACACAUGCAAGUCGAACGGCAGGCACGGGUGCUUGCACCUGGUGGCGAGUGGCGAACGGGUGAGUAAUAUAUCGGAACGUACCUUAUCGUGGGGGAUAACGCAGCGAAAGCUGCGCUAAUACCGCAUACGCCCUGAGGGGGAAAGCGGGGGACCGUAAGGCCUCGCGCGAUUAGAGCGGCCGAUAUCUGAUUAGCUUGUUGGUGGGGUAAAAAGCCCACCAAGGCGACGAUCAGUAGCUGGUCUGAGAGGACGAUCAGCCACACUGGGACUGAGACACGGCCCAGACUCCUACGGGAGGCAGCAGUGGGGAAUUUUGGACAAUGGGGGCAACCCUGAUCCAGCAAUGCCGCGUGAGUGAAGAAGGCCUUCGGGUUGUAAAGCUCUUUUGUCAGGGAAGAAACAGCAGCUCUAACACAGUCUGCGAAUGACGGUACCUGAAGAAUAAGCACCGGCUAACUACGUG
rnacentral:rRNA from 1 species